GAGCCUGCAAAAUGUGACAGUCUUGUAUGAACAUCAUACCUUCAUGGGCCACUCAGUCCUGCUCCUGCCCUGCCUGCCAAUGCCCACAUAGGCAGCUGUCUGACCCUUGCACUGCCUGUGCCUUGCUGGAGAGGAGUGCGGGGGUCACUGCUGUUAACCAGGCAAAGGACACCUAAUGACCAAUGUCCUCCAGCUCCUCCUGCUGCUCAUCAGUGUUGCUGCCCAGGCUGCUGAGGCUGUAGAUGUCCUGGGAGAGAACACAGGCCGAAAGGAAAGAACUACAAAAACUUCUUUCACAAACAAGCUCAAGCCACAGAUGUUUAUUCUUCGGGCCAUGGCCAUCUUUUUGUUGUGUUUGACAGGGCCUAUGCAACAGGAGAAGCACAAAGCCUGGAUCCAGCCCCCCAGCUCCAGCUACACUACUGGAAUGUUCGGAUAUCGGAACUCCUGUGGGCUCAACACUGUUGAGGGAUGUCUCAGACCUGCAGGAAGAAGUCAUCCUCUGUUCCUUCCAUUCUCUAUUGACUACACAGGCAGCCCAGGCGUUCACUGUUCAGGGCUGCGGGAUAAAUCUUGGUAACGCAGAGAAACAGGGUAAAGUGGAAAAAGCCCUUUU